GCUACAGGCUGCUCUAUCGCGGCUCCGCUUCUUUGAAGCAGAGAUGAGGAAAGUCCGGACAACGUAGAGCGCCACGCCACCUAACGGGUGGGCUGUCCCUUUGGGGAUAGACAGAAAGUGCCACAGAAAACUAGACUGCCGACGCCUUGGCAAGUGGAUGCGGGCAAAGCCCGCUGAUGCUUUAGCUGAAGGCGGGUGAGGGUGAAAACGUGCGGUAAGAGCGCACGCUCUGUCGUAGCAAUACGGUGGAGGGGUAAACCUCGUGGGUUGAAAUGCCAUGUACACCUCGAUUCUGCCGGUAGGCAAUGCCUCCGGGCACGCUUGCCAGUGGUACUGGGUUGCUCGCCCAGUUCCUCCUCCGGGAGGUAUUCGGGGGGGGUAGGCAGAUAGAGCCCGCCGGUGACGACGGGCCUGGAUAAAUGAUAGAGGCCGCAGAGUACGCCUGGCGUAACUUUGAGGAACAGAAUCCGGCUUAUAGGCCUGUAGCAGAA
rnacentral:RNase_P_RNA from 1 species